UUCAAGGCAAACCAUAUCGAUUCUUCGGUGUAUUCUACGGUGAUACGUGAUAUUUAAUUAAACCAACUUGGGGUGUUCAAAUUUGUAAGAUGGCUGAGAUUCAAGCAGUUAAAUCAGUUUGCGUUUCAUGCAAGAAGGAAUGUGGAAGCCAUUUUUGCAAAGUUUGCAAAAAAACGUGCCACGCAAUUCCGCCUUGCUCAACAUCAGCAGGUGAUGAUGAAGGUUUUGGUGCCCAGGUCUUGUGUAGUGGCUGUGCAAAAACUGAGACAGCAGCAGUGGCUAAAAAUAAGCAGCAAACACUGUCUAAGGAAGGUAACAGAACAA